rnacentral:rRNA from 1 species
GACAGAGGUGCCGAGCGUUAGGCGGAAUCACUGGGCUUAAAGCGUGUGUAGGCGGGUCCGUAAGUACCUUGUGAAAUCCCACGGCUCAACCGUGGAACUGCUGGGUAUACUGCGGGGCUUGAGCCACUUAGGGGCAAGCGGAACAAACGGUGGAGCGGUGAAAUGCGUAGAUAUCGUUUGGAACGCCAAUGGUGAAAACAGCUUGCUGGGAGUGUGCUGACGCUGAGACACGAAAGCCAGGGGAGCAAACGGG